rnacentral:misc_RNA from 1 species
GAAUUCAAACGCGGAGCUGUGCUGGCUUUCAGGAGCAUGUGCACGCUUUGCAUAUAUUCAACCACCUGUGAACCUAAUGUAGAUCUGAGAAUAUUUCUCAAGGAAACUUGGACGUGGAGUUGCUGGUCUUGAAAGAGGUCGACUGCUCUUGCUUCUCAGGUCUAUGCUUUAUACACCCCAUAAUAUGUUAUAGAGUGUUUUAACGGCUUUAUAAGCCUUAAACUUAAUACAACUUUCAACAACGGAUCUCUUGGCUCU